AUUGAACGCUGGCGGCAGGCCUAACACAUGCAAGUCGAGCGGAUGAAGGGAGCUUGCUCCUGGAUUCAGCGGCGGACGGGUGAGUAAUGCCUAGGAAUCUGCCUGGUAGUGGGGGAUAACGUCCGGAAACGGGCGCUAAUACCGCAUACGUCCUGAGGGAGAAAGUGGGGGAUCUUCGGACCUCACGCUAUCAGAUGAGCCUAGGUCGGAUUAGCUAGUUGGUGGGGUAAAGGCCUACCAAGGCGACGAUCCGUAACUGGUCUGAGAGGAUGAUCAGUCACACUGGAACUGAGACACGGUCCAGACUCCUACGGGAGGCAGCAGUGGGGAAUAUUGGACAAUGGGCGAAAGCCUGAUCCAGACAUGACGCGUGUGUGAAGAAGGUCUUCGGAUUGUAAAGCACUUUAAGUUGGGAGGAAGGGCAGUAAGUUAAUACCUUGCUGUUUUGACGUGACCAACAGAAUAAGCAACGGCUAACUUCGUG
rnacentral:rRNA from 1 species